ACCCGUGUAGCUCAGUUGGUAGAGCAUGGUGUUUGCAACACCAGGGUUGUAGGUUUGAUUCCCACGGGGG
rfam:Salmo salar isolate Sally breed double haploid chromosome ssa12, whole genome shotgun sequence.